GGCCAGGAAACGUGACGUCGCAGUUCUCUCUGGGAAGACUGAGGUGGCUUUUGCUCCGCCCUACCAGAGUCGGUAGUGACCUGACAUUAAGGGUUAGGUCGGGGACGCGUAGGUCAUGGCGCUGGCUUCGCGAAUGUGGCGCUUUUUCCCUUUGGGACGUGGAGCUGCUCCGGGGACUAGAUUCUCAACGGGGACAUGGGGCUGCCUUGAGCAGUGCUGCCCCCGGCGAUUCCGCGGCCCUGAGGUGAUAGGUAACCCAGGAACUUUGAAAAGAGGACUUUUAUUCUCAGCCUUGUCUUAUUUGGGUUUUGAAACUUAUCAAGUCAUUUCUCAGGCUGCUGUUGUUCAUGCCACAGCCAAAGUUGAAGAAAUUCUUGAACAAGCAGACUACCUGUAUGAAAGUGGAGAAACGGAAAAACUUUAUCAGUUGCUAACCCAAUACAAGGAAAGUGAAGAUGCAGAGGUACUGUGGCGGCUGGCACGGGCAUCACGUGAUAUAGCUCAGCUUAGUGGGACUUCAGAAGAGGAGAAAAAGCUUUUUGUGUAUGAAGCCCUCGAGUAUGCAAAAAGAGCACUAGAAAAAAAUGAAUCAAGUUUUGCUGCUCAUAAGUGGUAUGCAAUCUGCAUUAGUGAUGUUGGAGAUUAUGAAGGCAUCAAGGUUAAAAUUGCAAAUGCCUACAUUAUCAAGGAGCAUUUUGAGAAAGCAAUUGAACUGAAUCCUAAAGAUGCUACCUCAAUUCACCUGAUGGGUAUUUGGUGCUAUACAUUUGCUGAAAUGCCUUGGUAUCAGAGAAGAAUUGCUAAAAUGCUGUUUGCAACUCCUCCUACUUCCACCUAUGAGGAGGCCUUGGGCUACUUUCACAGGGCAGAACAAGUGGUUUCUGAGGUUGCUUCCUGACCUAAAAGAACUCCAGGGAAAGACAUACUUGAAGUUAAAGAACAAAAAGCUUGCUGCUUUCUGGCUGAUGAAAGCCAGGGACUAUCCAGCACACACAGAAGAAGAUAAACAGAUACAGACAGAAGCUGCUCAGUUGCUUACAGGUUUGUGAAAAGAAAUGAGACUUUUCAGAGAAGAAAAUACAUGAAAUAAUAAACUUUGCCUUUUCAAAGA